UACGUAGGGACCAGGCGUUGUUCGGAUUUACUGGGCGUAAAGGGCGCGUAGGCGGCGUGACAAGUCACUUGUGAAAUCUCUGAGCUUAACUCAGAACGGCCAAGUGAAACUGUUGUGCUAGAGUGCAGAAGGGGCAAUCGGAAUUCUUGGUGUAGCGGUGAAAUGCGUAGAUAUCAAGAGGAACACCUGAGGUGAAGACGGGUUGCUGGGCUGACACUGACGCUGAGGCGCGAAAGCCAGGGGAGCAAACGGG
rnacentral:rRNA from 1 species